UAUAAUGCAGUCGAACGCACAGCGAAAGGUGCUUGCACCUUUCAAGUGAGUGGCGAACGGGUGAGUAACACGUGGACAACCUGCCUCAAGGCUGGGGAUAACAUUUGGAAACAGAUGCUAAUACCGAAUAAAACUUAGUAUCGCAUGAUACCAGGUUAAAAGGCGCUACGGCGUCACCUAGAGAUGGAUCCGCGGUGCAUUAGUUAGUUGGUGGGGUAAAGGCCUACCAAGACAAUGAUGCAUAGCCGAGUUGAGAGACUGAUCGGCCACAUUGGGACUGAGACACGGCCCAAACUCCUACGGGAGGCUGCAGUAGGGAAUCUUCCACAAUGGGCGAAAGCCUGAUGGAGCAACGCCGCGUGUGUGAUGAAGGCUUUCGGGUCGUAAAGCACUGUUGUAUGGGAAGAAAAGUUAAGGUAGGGAAUGACCUUAGCCUGACGGUACCAUACCAGAAAGGGACGGCUAAAUACGUGCCAGCAGCCGCGGUAAUACGUAUGUCCCGAGCGUUAUCCGGAUUUAUUGGGCGUAAAGCGAGCGCAGACGGUUGGUUAAGUCUGAUGUGAAAGCCCGGAGCUCAACUCCGGAAAGGCAUUGGAAACUGGUUAACUUGAGUGCAGUAGAGGUAAGUGGAACUCCAUGUGUAGCGGUGGAAUGCGUAGAUAUAUGGAAGAACACCAGCGGCGAAGGCGGCUUACUGGACUGUAACUGACGUUGAGGCUCGAAAGUGUGGGUAGCAAACAGGAUUAGAUACCCUGGUAGUCCACACCGUAAACGAUGAACACUAGGUGUUAGGAGGUUUCCGCCUCUUAGUGCCGAAGCUAACGCAUUAAGUGUUCCGCCUGGGGAGUACGACCGCAAGGUUGAAACUCAAAGGAAUUGACGGGACCCGCACAAGCGU
rnacentral:rRNA from 1 species